ensembl:snRNA U6 U6 spliceosomal RNA
GUGUUUGCUUCAGCAGCUCAUAUACUAAAAUUGGAAUGAUACAGAGAUGAUUAGCAUGGUCCCUGUGCAAGGAUGAUAUGCAAAUUCGUGAAAUGUUCCAUAUUUGU